AUGCGAUAAGUAAUGUGAAUUGCAGAAUUCAGUGAAUCAUCGAAUCUUUGAACGCACAUUGCGCCCGCCAGUAUUCUGGCGGGCAUGCCUGUUCGAGCGUCAUUUCAACCAUCAAGCCUCAGGCUUGUGUUGGGGGCCUGCAGCUGCUGCAGCCCCCUAAAAGCAGUGGCGGACUCGCUGUCAUACCGAGCGCAGUAGUUACAUCUCGCUCUGGGCGUGGCGGCGGGCACCUGCCGUGAAACACUCUUUCUAAGGUUGACCUCGGAUCAGGUAGGAAUACCCGCUGAACUUAA
rnacentral:misc_RNA from 1 species